GUGAAAACCUGAGGCUCAACCUCAGGCCUGCAUUCGAUACGGGCAAACUAGAGUUUGGUAGGGGAGACUGGAAUUCCUGGUGUAGCGGUGGAAUGCGCAGAUAUCAGGAGGAACACCAAUGGCGAAGGCAGGUCUCUGGGCCAAUACUGACACUGAGGAGCGAAAGUCUGGGGAGCGAACAGGAUUAGAUACCCUGGUAGUCCAGACCGUAAACGGUGGGCACUAGUUGUGGGAACCUUCCACGGUUUCUGCGACGCAGCUAACGCAUUAAGUGCCCCGCCUGGGGAGUACGAUCGCAAGAUUAAAACUCAAAGGAAUUGACGGGGCCCCGCACAAGCAGCGGAGCAUGCGGCUUAAUUCGACGCAACGCGAAGAACCUUACCAAGGCUUGACAUAUAGGGAAAAGUGGCAGAGAUGUCGUGUCCGCAAGGGCUCUAUACAGGUGGUGCAUGGUUGUCGUCAGCUCGUGUCGUGAGAUGUUGGGUUAAGUCCCGCAACGAGCGCAACCCUCGUUCUGUGUUGCCAGUAUUUAGUUGGGGACUCACAGGAGACUGCCGGGGUUAACUCGGAGGAAGGUGGGGAUGACGUCAAAUCAUCAUGCCCCUUAUGUCUUGGGCUGCACGCAUGCUACAAUGGCCGGUACAGAGGGCUGCAAUACCGUAAGGUGGAGCGAAUCCCAAAAAGCCGGUCUCAGUUCGGAUUGAGGUCUGCAACUCGACCUCAUGAAGUUGGAGUUGCUAGUAAUCGUAGAUCAGCAACGCUACGGUGAAUACGUUCCCGGGGCUUGUACACACCGCCCGUCACGUCACGAAAGUCGGUAACACCCAAAGUCAGUGGCCCAACCGCAAGGGGGGAGCUGCCUAAGGUGGGAUCGGUGAUUGGGACG
rnacentral:rRNA from 1 species